AAAUGGCAAAAGACUUGAUGGUUGGUAUCCGAAGCCCCAAGUUCGAAUUCUAGUUGAUUCACAUUUCCAGCUAAGUUUAUUUUUAUAUGAAAUAAAUGAAGCGGGUAGCGUGCUACCUAUCUCUCAAAAAAAAAAGAGAAGAAGAUUAUAUAUAAAGUAAUGAGUGUCCUUCAAGCUAUAUAGUAGUGUUGUUGAUUGCUCUUGAUCAUUUAGAAUUGGGUCUGGAGCCAAUCUACAAUCUUCUUAUCUAGCUGAAAUGCCUUGGCGAGAAUGUCAUAUGAGAUUGGGGGAUUUGACUUGAAGACUGCAUUAGCUAGCUACAAGAAUGUCCUUUUUUAAAGAUCUUUCUUAGAAUAGAACCAACUUCGCACUUGGAAGGGGCAUAUAUAUGUGUAGACACUAGACAUAUGUUUUUGCAUGGAUGCAUACGUAAAAGCCUUCAAGGGCGCGUUUGGUUCGCAUUAUGAAAGAUUACUAGGAGUAAAAAAAUAUCCGAAAAUUUUAUUCCUAUUCAUCCUAUUACUAAGAAUGUAGUAUUUCGGUAUCUGGUUCGUAUGGUCAUAUUAUUUAGUCAUGUUAUUUAAAAUUACAAAAAAUAUACAAUUAAUUUAUUUAAUUAAUUUUAAAUAAUACUAUAAAAAAUUUUAACAUUUUUUAGAAAAAAGAGAGAGAGAAUAUAUGUUAGAAAGAGAGAGCAUAAUUAAAAAAAAAGGAAGAGAAAUAGAGUCGAGAUUGGAGAGAAUGAGAAUGUUGAGAUUUUAGAAAAAAAGAGGAGAAAUAGCUUAAUUUAGAGAGAGAAAAAGAGUUGAAGUUUAGAGAGAGACAAAAAAGAAGUUUAGAGAGAGAUACGAAGUUAGAGUGUAAAAAAAUAAUACUAAUUAUCCGGCGGGUAGGAAGAAAGAAAAAGAUUAGACAUAUUAUAAUUACUCAAAUCCAUUAAUAUAAAGAUAACCACCAUUCCUCAAAUAAAUGAGAUUAUUAUUUUGAGAUGCAUCUCAUUCCCAAGCAAAUUCAGUAUUACCGACUAGAUUACUUAGUGCGUUUAGCGAAACACCGUUAUAUUUUUUUAUUCCUAUUGAAUUACUAGAAAUCUUAAAAAGAUAGCGCCAACCAAACGCACCCUAAAUGUAAUGAUCCAUCCAUGUUUUCUUUUGCAGGGCUUGCUGUGAUCAUUGUAAUGUUUGUGACUACAUGUCUAAUGUUCCUCGUCAUUGGUCUAUUGUAUGGGCAAUUCUCUUCUUUGGUUCCUUGGAGCUUCUUUAUUUAUCCGCGUGCAUAGCCAAUGUCCACCAUGGGGGUUGGCUCCCCCUUAUAUUAUCUUUAAUCACCUUGCUUACUAUGUCAAUAUGGCACUAUGGCACCACAAGAAAGCAGGCUUUCGAGAUCGAGAACAAAGUCUGCCUUGAACGCUUCAUUAGCCUGACCCCUAAUCCUGGUCUGGUUCGAGUCCCGGGAAUUGGCCUUUGUCUACACCAAUAUCACAACCGGGGUCCCUCCCAUGUCUGCACACUUUGUAACAAACUUCCCUGCUUCCCACCGAAAUUAAAUUGGCCCCUCGUUUACAGUUAUAAGGAGUUGGCAUUUGUACCAGGAUGAAGCAGCUUGCACAUGAAAUUAAAUUGGCCCCUCGUGGCUUUCGAGAUCACGAGCUACCUCAUAUUUUCUUUAAAUGUUGUAUAAUUUAAUUAUAAAAAAAUAAUCUCGAAUCAAGUAACCCUUUUAAAUAUUGUAUAGUUUAAUUACAAAAAUAAUCUCGAAUAGAGUAAUCUUUUUACCUGCUAAAUAUUAAAAUUACAUCUUUAUACUCUAUUAAUCAACGGUUAAAUUUUUUUUUUUUAUUUUUUUAAAAAAUAAAGUACCGAAUCAUUUCUCGUGUUGAUUGCAAAAGAAAAAGCAACAGUUUGAAAGGUACCAAAAAUAGUUUGAUAUAACAAUUCCAGUGUAACAGUAGAAUUGAUCAUGCAUGGCCCAUGCAUCCAACUAAUACCACCUCUUAUCCCUAUAAAUAAUCAUUCCUAUGGCCCUAAAAUCUCAAAUCACAGCAACAAAUUGAUCUCUAGCUCAUAUUCGAUAAGCUUCUUGUUCUAUAUCCAUGGCUUCUCCAUUUCUACUCCUCGCUGUUCUUGCUUUGGCUUUUGCACAAGCUCUUGCUUAUGAUCCUACUCCUCUCCAGGACUUCUGCGUCGCGGAUUUGAAAUCCAAUAGUAUAUUUCUGUUUCUUGUUUAAUUUUUGUUGUGUUCUAUGUUAUGUCAGUUUGAAUAUAUACUGCUGCAAAGUCGGUAUUUGUGUCUGUUUAUCUAAAUACUUAUGUAUUGAUUUUUUAUUUUGAUAUUUGUAGCCCAACACAUAAAAAAUUUAGUAGGAUAAUUUUGAGGGGUCCGCAUACAAAUUUAUGCAUGACUAAACUUCGCUCCUGCAUUGCAUGUAUGCAUGAUUCAGUUUUCAUCAAUGGGUUUCCGUGCAAAAAUCCGAAGACAGUGACGGUGGAGGACUUCUCCUUCUCCGGCCUGAACAUCACCGGAAACACAAAAAACAAGUUCGGGUUCAACGUGACGUUCGUCGACGUCAUGAGGCUCCCGGGGCUCAACACUCUCGGCGUCUCCAUCGGGCGCGCCGACUACGCCCCUUACCGCAUCCUCCCCCUCCACACCCACCCCCGCGCCGCAGAGAUCUUCACUGUCAUCGAGGGAACCCUCCUCGUCGGCUUUGUUACCUCUAACCCUAACAACACGUAUUAUUUUUCUCUAAAAAUUUAAGCCGUCGUAGGACGCAUUCUUUAAAUUUUUCAACAAUAUUCUAUUUUAUUUUAUACUGAAAUAUUACUUUACUAGGUGGAAUCUUUUAAUUUGUUUUUCAUUUUCUAACAAAGAUUAUUAAAUACUUGACAUGCUUCUAUAUAACAAAAUCAAAAGUGCCGGAAAGAUUUAUAUAAUGAAAUUAUUAAUUUCCAUAUGCUCAUUCUUUAUGUUUUGGAGUACAAAAAAAUAUUUUUAAUAGUUACUAAGUUGAUUAUUGUGACGGGAGUGGGCGACAUUCAGGCCAGGGAUCUGGGAAGCGAUGUAAGUCAAGUCUGGGCAGCGUGGAGGAUUACGUCAGGCGGACACACGACGAGAAACUGUCCCUCCGAAUUAGUAGGAUGCUGGUGGUCCGUUUGGAAGGCUAGAAAUGAUACCAUUUUCAGAAGUAUCCAUCCGAAUCCUACGCAAGUAGUUCACAUGUUUAAGCAGCUGAUGAAGGAGUGGGACCUACUUAAUCGAGCAAGGCGGACCUCAGUUUAAGCAGAUCACAUGUUUUUUUUUUUUUUUUUUUUUUUUUUUUUUUGGCUGCCUCACCCCUAUAGCCUAGUUCAUAUUCCCAAUGAAUGAAGCGGGUAGCGUGCUACCUCUUUCUCAAAAAAAAAAAAAAAAAAAAAAGUUACAAAUAACUUUGAUGCCGGUGUGAUAUAAAUGUCUCUUUUUCUGUUAGCUUAAGUUAUUAAAGAAUAUUAUUUUAAUUUUUUUGUUUUUCUACAAUAGGCUCUUCCUCAAGAGCCUCGAUGCUGGUGAUGUUUUCGCAGUCCCCGUUGGCAUGAUCCACUUUGAAUUCAAUGUCGGCAAAGGCCCUGCAGUCGCCAUUGCAGGGUUCAACAGCCAGAACCCAGGGAUCAUUUUCAUCAGGGACGCUGUAUUCAGGUCGAAGCCGCCGAUCCCUGUGGAGGUGCUGGAGAAGUCGUUCCAGGUCGGGAAGGACGUGAUCGAGGAGCUCCUGGCGCAGUUCAAGUAGAAAUGAGAUUCUGAGACCUUAAUAUAUAUGAGGUCUCUGAUUGAUGUUCUUAGUUGUUGGAUUUGUGUACUGUGGUUGUUUUGUUAAAUACAAAAAUGUUUAAACACCGUUCCCUAACAGCUUAAGCUUUUAGAGUACAAUGGUUGUUUUACAUGGUAUCAGAGCAGGAGGUCCUAAGUUCGAGUCACGCCAGACUCCUAACAUAUUAAUUUCCUUCAAUUUAAUUCAAGCCCACGUUAUGGGCCGACUAAAAGUCUCGAGUCCAGACGUGAGGGGGAGUGUUAAAUACAAAAAUGUUUAAACACCGUUCCCUAACAGCUUAAGCUUUUAGAGUACAAUGGUUGUUUUACAUGUUUCGACCUUUGAAUAAAGGUAGCAGGUAUAUAUAUGUAGUAACUGCUACACUUUGCAACCACUGCUCUGGUUUCGUUAUGACUGUGAAAGAUGUAUUGCUUUUGAAUAAUAUUGUUGAUGAUGUGAUCGUUGAAUAAGAUAUAUAUAUUCCUUAAUGAGAUUUCAAAUCCUUAAUUAAAUUAAUUUAAGGGUGCGUUUCUAUCUUUUUUAAAAUUUCUAAUUUUUUUAAAAAAUUUCUAGUAACCCAACAAAAAUAAAAAAAUAUGACGAUAUUUGGCUAAAUGCAUUAAGUAAUCUAAAUGGUAAUACUGGAUUUACUUGGAAAUGAGAUGCAUCCCAAAAUACUAAUCUCAUUCCUUUAAGAGAGAGUGAGUGUUCUUAUAUUGAUAGAUUGGAGUAAUUAUAUUAUGUCUAAUUUUUUUUUAUCUUCCCACCCGCCGGCUAGUUGGUAUUAUUUUUUUUACACUCUAACCUUAUAUCUCUCUCUAAACUUAUCUUUUUCUCUCUCUAAACUAAGCUCUCUCUUCUCCUCUUUUUCUAAAAUCUCAACUCUCUCACUCCCUCUAAUUUUGUUUCUAUUUCUCUUCUUAUUUUUUUAAUUAUGCUCUCUCUCUCUAACAUAUAUUCUUUCUCUCUUUUUUUUUAAAAAAUGUUGAAAUUUUGGUAGCAUUAUCUAAAAUUAAUUAAAAAUAAAUAAAUAAAUUAUAUAUUUUUGUAAACUUAAAUAAAUGACUAAAUGAUAUGACGUGCGAAUCAAACACAUGAAUGCCACAUUCUUAGUAAUAGAAUGAAUAUGAAUAAGAUUCUCGAACAUCUUUUAUUGCUAGUAAUUUUCAUAGUGCGAACCAAACACACUCUAAGCAAGAACUAGCUAUUACAGGAAUAGCUACAAGUAUGGGGAUAAGAAAAAUAGCGUUUAGAUGAAAAUUGGGUUGUUUUCGGGGAUAAUAAAAAUAGCAUUUGGAUAGAUAAUGUGGAAUAAGAAAAAUAGUGGAUAGUUAUAUAUAAAAAAUGAAGGUGUUGGUGGGAAUAGUUAUACCCAGUUAUUAUAGGUAACCAAGAAUUACUAUUCUCGAAUAAAAAAUUAACGUUUGGAUAUAAAGGAGGGGAUAAGAGAUUAUUCCACUUCUUAUCUCCAAUCCAAACGCUACUUUAAAAGUAAAAAAAAUUGUCCGGAAUAGAAAGAUAUAUGACAGAGACAUGAGAUGGGAAAAUGCAACGUGAACUGACCAGUCCAAUCUAAUCUGAUUGGGGUUCAACCAAAUUUAACUUUACUCAUCAAGUACCUGUCAAUAUGCACCUGUAAUGUAGAGUUCACCACCGCAUGAGGUUGAAAUGAGCUUUUGAGUUCGAGAUACAAAAGUACAAUUGACAAAUUAAGUUUCUUCUGUUUUUUCUUUGACAAUAGUUAUGAUUUUGGAGUAGCUUUAAUAACAAAAAUAGAAUUUAAUUUAUAGUCAGAAUUUUGGAAUGAUCGCUGAAGUCGAUUCACACUUUAGAUCGAACCUACGAAUUUUCAAUCGGUGAAGUUCUCGCUAAGGUCAUGACGCGUUCUCAAAAGAUGGGCAUGCAACAACAUUUAUGGAUUGGAUAAAAUCUAAUUUAACAUGAAUUUUAUUGUUACUUGUCUGGAAUUUUUGUGGUCGGUCUAAAAAGUAAAUAGGCAUUACGAGAGAUUAUCAUAAGAGGGAGAUUAGUUUUCGCGGCGCAAUAAGUUGUAGUUUUUGCUUAAUUUAGAUUUGAAAGUGAGUUGGAAUGUUAUAUUGAAAUAAUACAAAAGAUGAAAUCAUACAAUGAAUUUAGCGUAUGAGAAUUUAAUUAAUUAGUCCCAAGUAUAAUCAAAGAGUAAUUAAUGCCAUACCCACACAUUCUCUUUUACAAGUCAAAGUUCAUAAAAUUAUAAAAUCAUGUGAGAUUGAAGGUAGAGCUAUUGGGUAGCUACCUAGGGCUUAGCGAGAGACCAAUUCUCUAGCUACGUACAUUUGAUCUGCACUUUUGUUGGCAUCCUAUACAAUAUACGUGAGUAUAUUUUCCUUCAACCACCAAAUUUGAUGAUUACAGUUAAGUAGAGUUCAUAAAUAAUUCACCAUGAUUCAUAAAUAAAAUUAUAUUUUAGCAUGUAGCAUUAAAUCAAGUACUUUAACUACCUAUAUUAAAGGAGUAUUAGUACAUGCAAGUACACUUUACUAGGUUGUGCUUCCUUUUGUAUCCUUGAUUCCCUUUAUGAGCCUAAAAUAAUUGAGAUUAAAAGCAUUAUUUCGGCCAUGUACAUCAUGGAGAUUCCAUUUCCAUUAGUUCGCACUCUCAAAAUUUUUUAUUUAUAUAUAAGGAGACACAACGCAAGAUGCGGUGCGGUAAUCAUAGUUAGUUAAUUCGCGAAUUAUUCGUGAAUUUUUGAAAUGCCGAAUAAAACUCCUGUUUUCAUAUUUUUCCCAAAAAUUCAGAAAAAUUCGCAUUCUUUUGGGUAAAAAGAAUUAUUCGCGAAUUAAACGGAAUUCGCGAAUAAUUCGGCCCAAAAAACCGGCUCAGAACCCGUUUUGCCUCGCCCAAAACCCGCUUUGCCUCGCGAGUCACGGCCCUCACCCUGUCGCGGUGUCGCCCAAAAGGCCGAAAAAAAAAAAAAAAAAAAAAAAAAAAAAAAACACUUUCUGAAAUCUAAAGUGAAAUGAUCGCCCCCCCUCCCACGAGUCCCCACCCCCACCCGAAGAGGAUUAAAUCAUAGUUAAUUAAUUCAUAGUUAGUUAAUUAAUUCGGAUUCGCAUAUUGAUAUAGUCGAGGAUUAAAUCUUUAUUUUCUAGUUUAUUUGUACAUAUUCGCACAUUGAUUUUAAAUUUUUAUUUUGGGCAAUAACUUAAUCUCGAGUGCUUAAUUGAAUGUGUCCAUUCUCUGUUAUGCACAAAGAAGACCCAAACAUAGAGCUAAAUAAUUUUAAUUAACUUAGGGACCAGGAACUCUUCUAUUAUACCUAAUCAAUUUCAUGAUCUUGUACUAUCGACACUUGCAAAAGGAAAAUUUUGUUGUGGUCUUUCAUGGACCAUUGACUCAGUGGGGUUUCUAUUUAAUUUUUGAAACAUAACUUUUUAGUAUUAGAAAUGCAGCAAUUUAUAUAUGGACUAUCUUGAUCUCUAUUUGCUUAAUUAUUUCUUUAUUUUGAGGCAUAAUAUAGUUUACUAGUUUUUUUACUUAGUUUAAUUUUGUAGCUCUUUAUUCUUAUAUUUUUAAAAAAUAUGAAUAUUUAUGCUAAUAGCAUAAAUUUUGAGAGAAAAAAAAACUUAAUUUAAUAGCCGAAUUUUUGAUCCCGAAUUUUUAAUUGGUGAACGUAUAAUAUCCGUAUAAAUCACGUAUCCGAAUAAUUGGCGAAUCCGUUUUUUAGCCCUUUUUUUCAACGAAUUUAAAAAUUAGAAGACGAAUUUUAUCCGAAUUAUACCCAUACCGAAUUUUUACCGAAUCCGAAUUAACUAACUAUGAUGGUGAUAGGAUAUCAAACUUAUUUAAUCUAAAGAUGACGAUAAUUAAUUAGAAAAAAUAUUUAAAGUUUAAUUCACGAUAGCUAAUGAUUAAUAUAGCUUCGUACAUGCACGUUUAAAAGUAACCUCCUCAUGUAUCAAUUAAUCACUUGUCCUAAAAUCUACGGUUAGCUUGCACAUGGAAUUAAAUUGGCCACUCGUGGCUUUCGAGGUCACCAGCUACCUCACAUUUUGUGAGACAGGAAAUAAAUUUUUUUUUUUUUUUGAGAGAAAGUUAGCAUGUUAUCCGCUUCGUUUAUUUUAUUUAGAAAUAAACUUAGCUGGAAAUGUGAAUCAAGUAGAAUUUGAUUUUAGGUCUCGGAUACCAACCACCCUUUUGCCACUUGCGCUAGGGAUGAUCUGUGAAAAUAAAUAAUAUAGAAAAUGCAAAUUUAGGUCAUGAAACACUUAGGGCUUGUUAGGUUUAAGGGUGGAAUUGGAAUGGAUAAUGGAAUGGAAAUGAAUUGGAAUGGUAAUUGGAAUGGUCCACUCCCUCAAGACGUUUGAUUUAUUUGUGGAUUGGGAAUUGGAAUGAGUUAUUCACAUUUCAUUGUUUGGUUCGUAUAAACUAAAAAAAUUAUAGGAUACUAUAAUACUAAUUUUACUCUCAAAUAUAAAUUUAUAUUAUUUAAAAUUUAUGAAAAAUAUAAUAUUAUUCUCUAAUAAGUUUUCCAAAAAAAAUAUCAAAUUUAUUUUUAAAAACUUUUAUUGAUGUGGGUUAGGGAUAGGGUUUUGAGAGAUGAUAGGUUUUUUUUUUUUUUGAUGAGAAAGGGGUGAAGAGAAGGAGGGUGAGAUGGUCACAUGGGCUUCGAGAAUUUAGUGGGCUUUCGGAAUAAAAUUUCAAUCCAGGCUAGAAGACCGGAAUCAAGUUGAAGGCUAAUGGGUCAUUCCCAUUCCAGUCCGGAAUAGGAAUUCCAAACCGAUUCAUGCGAACCAAACAAAAUUAACCGAAUUUAAUCAAACCGAUUCCUAUUCCAUACCCAAAAUGGAUGAACCAAACAAGCCCUUAUUGCAUUCACACACAACCAAGUAUAUACAAGGACAUUCCACAUGUUUUAGAGCUCUAUUGAUAAGUUUUGAUAAAUACAUGAAUUAGGAAUCUUUAGAAGGCUUCUCCGGAUUUGGGGGGGGAAUUUAGAUUUUUUAUAGAUUAAUUUAUAUAAUAAUAUAAUAUUUAGUAGUUGAAUCUUUUUUAUAGUGUAAAAAAUAUCUAUUUUGAUUUCAAAUACCUUUUGAUUAAUACCUAGUGACUUCUUUACUUAUUUAAAAUUUAGGAAUUAAAUAUUUUAUUAGUUAUUUGUGUGACGAAUAAAAGUUAAGAAGGGCACAAUGAAGAUGUAUGUUGCCAUGAAGAAUACCAAAGAAAAUACUUUUCCUUCAAUUAGUUUUUUAUUUUAUUUUAUUUGUAAAUUCUAUCUUGAUGAUAAUAAAAAAACUAUUAUCUUGAUGAUUUGGUAGCUAGUGUUUUAUUUUUUAUUUUAUUUUUUUGUAAUUUUACGAAACUAUUAUGCAUUAAAAUUUCUUGCCAUACCUAUUGCUUUCUAAAUCUUUUUUUUAAUAAAAUAAGAAUAAAAUUUAGAUUAUUUUUUGAUUUAAUUUUUUAGUUUUUUUUUUUUAGUUCGACCUGAGAAUUUUCAAAUUUUAUCAAAUUGUACGAUAUUUAUUUGUUUUAGUUUUAAUAGUAAUAACUUGUUGAAAUUUGCGAUGGCUAAUGGAUUAGAAAAUAAUAUUCCAUUGGAAAAGGUGUGCGGUAUUAUCUUAAACCUUGUUUUCUGAUAUUUGAUGAUUAACGAUUUAUUUUAUUUAUAAAAUUUGCUAAUUAUAUUCUUAUUUACCAACAUUACAAAUUUUUAAAAUAUUAAUACAAAAUUCCUCUAACUUAAAUUUUAAUUUUUAAUUUUAAAUAUUUAAUAUUUAAUAUUUAAAUUCAACGUAUUUAGAAAUAGAACUAUUUCUAAAAUUUUUAUAAUUUAAAUUAAUGCCUAAAUUUUAAAAACACUAAAUUUCUAAAAUAAAUGCCUAAAUUUGGGUAAUCAAUCAAUUUUCCAAAUUAGUGCAAAUUAAUGUGUAAAUUUAUAAUAUCAAUUAAAAUUUUAUUUAAAUUUUGCAUAGUUUAAUUACAAAAAUAACCGCGAAUAAAGUAACUCUUUUAAAUGUUGCAUAGUUUAAUUACAAAAAUAACCUCAGAUAAAGUAACUUUUUUACCUGCUAAAUAUUAAAAUUACAUCUUUAUUCUCUAUUAAUCAGCGGUUAAGAUCUUUUUUAUUUUUUUAAAAAUGAAGUACCGAGUCAUUUCUCAUAUUAAUUGAAAAAGAAAAAGCAACCGUUUGAAAGGUACCAAAAAUAGUUUGAUAAAACAAUUCCAGUGUAACAGUAGAAUUGAUCAUGCAUGGCCCAUGUAUCCAACUAAUACCACCUCUUAUCCCUAUAAAUAACCAUUCCUAUGGCCCUAAAAUCUCAAAUCGCAGCAACAAAUUGAUCACUAGUUCAUUUUCGAUAAGCUUCUCGUUCUAUAUCCAUGGCUUCGCCAUUUCUACUCCCCGCUGUUCUUGCUUUGGCUUUUGCACAAGCUCUUGCUUAUGAUCCUACCCCCCUCCAGGACUUUUGCGUCGCGGAUUUGAAAUCCAAUAGUAUGUUUCAGUUUCUUGUUUAAUUUUUGUUGCAUUCUAUGUUAUGUUAGUUUGAAUAUACUGCUGCAAAGUCGAUAUUUGUGUCUGUUCAUCUAAAUACUUAUGUAUUGAUUUUUUAUUUAGAUAUUUGUAGCCAAACACAUAAAAAAUUUAGUGAAAUUUUGAGGGGUCUACAUACAAAUUUAUGCAUGACUAAACUUCUCUUCUGCAUUGCAUGUAUGCAUGAUUCAGUUUUCAUCAAUGGGUAUCCGUGCAAAAAUCCGAAGACGGUGACGGUGGAGGACUUCUCCUUCUCCGGCCUGAACAUCCCCGGAAACACGAAAAACAAGUUCGGGUUCAAUGUGACGAUCGCCAACGUCAUGACGCUCCCGGGGCUCAACACUCUCGGCGUCUCCAUCGCGCGCAUCGACUACGCCCCACACGGCGUCGUCCCCCCCCACACCCACCCCCGUGGCACAGAGUUCCUCACCGUCAUCGAGGGAACCCUCAUCGCCGGCUUCGUUACCUCUAAUCCUAACAACACGUAUUAUAUUUCUCUAAAAAUUUAUGCCGUCGCAGGACACAUUCUUUAAAAUUUUCAACAAUAUUCUAUUUUAUUUUAUACUGAAAUAUUACUUUACUGGGUGGAAUCUUUUAAUUUGUUUUUCAUUUUCUAACAAAGAUUAUUAAAUACUUGACAUGCUUCUAUAUAAUAAAAUCAAAAGUACCGGAAAGGUUUAUAUAAUGAAAUUAUUAGUUUCCGUAUGGUCAUUCUUUAUGUUUAGGAGUACAAAAAAUAUUUUUAAUAGUUACAAAUAACUUUGAUGCCAGUGUGAUGUAAAUGUCUCUUUUUAUGUCAACUUAAGUUAUUAAAGAAUAUUAUUUUAAUUCUUUUUUUUCCUACAAUAGGCUCUACCAACAGAUCCUCCAUCCCGGUGACGUUACCGUGUUCCCCAUUGGCAUGAUCCACUUUCAGUUGAACAUCGGCAAAGGCCCUGCAGUCGCCAUUGUAGGGCUCAACAGCCAGAACCCAGGGUUCAUUUUCAUCGGGGAUGCUGUAUUCGGGUCGAAGCCGCCGAUCCCUGUGCAGGUGCUGGAGAAGUCGUUCCAGGUCGGGCCCAACGUGAUCCAGGAGCUCCUGGCGCAGUUCAAGUAGAAAUGAGAUUCUGAGACCUUAAUAUAUAUGAGGUCUCUGAUUGAUGUUCUUACGUUGUUGGAUUUGUGUACUGUGGUUGUUUCGACCUUUGAAUAAAGGUAGCAGGUAUAUAUAUGUAGUAACUGCUACACUUUGCAACCACUGCUCUGGUUUCGUUAUGACUGUGAAAGAUGUAUUUGCUUUUGAAUAAAAUUGUUGAUGAUGUGAUCCUUGAAUAAGAUGUAUAUUCCUUAAUGAGAUUUCAAAUCCUUAAUUAAAUUAAUCUGAGGGUGCGUUUGGUUUGCGUUAUUUUUUUAAGAUUCUUAGUAAUUUAAUAGAAACAAAAAAAUGUAACGGUAUUUGGCUAAACGCACUAAGUAAUCUAAUUAGUAAUAUUGGAUUUACUUGGAAAUGAGAUUCAUCACAAAGUACUAAUUUUAUUACCUUGAGGGAGGGUGAGUAUUCUCAUAUUAAUGGAUUCGGAUAAUUAUAAUAUGUUUAAUCUCUUUCUUUCUCUCUACCCGCCGACUAGUUAAUAUUAUUUUUUUUACACUCUAACCUCGUAUCUCCUUCUAAACUUAUCUUUUUCUCUCUCUAAAUUAAGCUCUCUCUCCUCCUUUUUUUCUAAAAUCUCAAUUCUCUCACUCCCUCUAAUUUUGACUCUAUUUUUCUUCUUAUUUUUUUAAUUAUGCUCUCUCUCUUUUUAUCUAAAAAGAUGUUUAAAUUUCGAUAGCAUUAUCUAAAAUUAAUUAAAAAAAUAAAUAAAUAAAUUGUAUAUUUUUGUAAAUUUAAAUAAAUGACUAAAUAAUAUGACGUGUGAAUCAAACACAGAAAUGACACAUUCUUAGUAAUAGAAUGAAUUAAUAGGAAUAAGAUUUUUGAACAUUUUUUUUAUUGCUAGUAACUUUUCAUAAUGCGAACCAAACACACUUUAAAAGUAAAAAUGUUUGUCCGGAAUAGAAAGAUAUAUGACAGAGACAAGAGAUGGGAAAAUGCAACGUGAACUGACCAGUUCAAUCUAAUCUGACUGGGGUUCAACCAAAUUUAACCUUACUCAUCAAGUACAUAUAUGCACCUGUCAUGUAGAGUUCACCACCGCAUGAGGUUGAAAUGAGCUUUUGAGUUCGGGACACAAAAGUUCAAUUGAAAAAUUAAGUUUAUUCUGCUUUUUCUUUGAAAAUAGUUAUGAUUUUUUAGCUUUAAUAACAUAAAAAGAAUUUAAUUUAUAGCCAGAAUUUCGGAGUGAUCACUGAAGUCGAUUCACACUUUGGAUCGAACUUGCGAAUUUUCAAUCAGUGAAGUUCUCGCUAAGGUCAGGACGCGUUCUCAAAAGAUGGGCGUGCAACAACAUGUAUGGAUUGAAUAAAAUCUAAUUUAACAUGAAUUUUAUUGUUAUUCUAAAAAGUAAAUAGGCAUUAUGAGAGAUUAUCAUAAGAGGGAGAUUAGUUUUCACCGCGCAAUAAGUUGAAAUUUUUGCUUAAUUUAGAAUUAAAAGUGAGUUGGAUUAAUUGUUAGAUUGAAAUAAUACAAGGAUGAAAUCAUACAAUGAAUUUAGCGUAUGGGAAUUUAAUUAAUUAGUCCAAAGUAUAAUCAAAGAGUAAUUAAUGCUAAACGCACACAUACUCUUUUGCAAGUCAAAGUUCAUAAAAUUUUUUACUGUAUCAAUAUUUUGUUUUUUGUAAUGUUUAUCCGCCGCAAUGCGCGGAUUACUUUAUUAGUUAAUUAUGAAACUAGAACCGGUCAUUAAUAAAUAAAUUUGUAUUUUUAUUAUUGCUAAGUCACAUGCAAACAUUACCCUAUUGUUUGCUUAUUCAAUCCAAUUAAUACAGUCAAAUGAAUAAAUCCACAGACAUGAAUAACAAAAGCAGAUUACAUGCUGUUAGAACUAAAAUUAACCNCGCGGAUUACUUUAUUAGUUAAUUAUGAAACUAGAACCGGUCAUUAAUAAAUAAAUUUGUAUUUUUAUUAUUGCUAAGUCACAUGCAAACAUUACCCUAUUGUUUGCUUAUUCAAUCCAAUUAAUACAGUCAAAUGAAUAAAUCCACAGACAUGAAUAACAAAAGCAGAUUACAUGCUGUUAGAACUAAAAUUAACCGAGAAGAUCUAGUUCGUCGAAUACGAAAAUACCAAAAGAGAUCUGAGAAAGAGAGAAGAAAAAUGAAGCACACAAUAUUUAUGUGGUUCGGCCAACGGCUUACGUCCACGGGCGAAGAGGGAGCGGAGAUCUUCAUUAUAAUCAAAGUGGUGUACAAAAUAUGCCACUCUCACAAAAUCCUAAUCCCAAAAAAUACACCUAUAUUCUCUCUCUCAUUUUCCGCACAAUAGCAGAAAGGGUAUAUUUAUAAUAGUGGCUAAAUCCUAAUACAAUUAGGAAAACAAACCCACUAAGGUUAGGAAUAUCUCGAUAAAUUAGGCAUAAUCUAAACUUAAUUUAAUGGAAUAAUUAAAACAGAAUAUGGUUAGAAGAUCUUGCGGUACUAGAAUUCGAGACAUAUUUAACACAUGAAACCAAAUAUCAAAAGUAAAUUACAUCUAGUAUAUAUAUAUAUAUAUAUAUAUAUAUAUAUAUAUAUCUUAGUUUCAACUGGUCGAUGCGAACUGAGCCUGAAUCCAAUCUAUGGUUUUCUUGUCCACCUGAAAGGCCUUAGCAAGAAUAUCAUCAGAAAUGAAAGGGUUUGAACCGAAGACUGAUUCGCCAAUUCUAAUGAGGCUCGGAUUCUGGCUACCUAGGGAAGCAAGGGCGACUGCCCUGGUCGGACCAUAGUUGAAUUCAAAAUGAAUCAAACCCUUGGGGAACACGAACACAUCUCCCUUGUUGAGGACCUUAGAAAAGAGCUUGUUCUCAUGGUUCGACGUGACGAAUCCAACAUAGAGGGAGCCUUCUAUCACAGUCAAGAUCUCGGUGGCACGUGGGUGAAUGUGUGGCGGGUUGAGACCGUUAGGUGCAACAUCAAGACGAGCCAUCGAGACGCCUAGGGUGUUGAGACCGGGAAUCUUGCUUGCGUCGAUUAAGGUCACUUUCGAUCCGAACUUGUUGGAUGUGUUUCCGAGCUUGUCUAGGUUGGAGAAGAGGAAAUCCUCAGAUUUCGCCAGUUUUGGAUCUUUGCACACGAACCCAUUAACAAACACUGCAGGAACAUAAUUAAACGCAUAGUUAGUGUCACUAGUAAAUACAUAUGUACGUACAAGGAGUAGCAGCUAAUUAAAGACCCAACUCCAACUACUUAACCCUAGCUAGUAACUCAAAUGGCCGAGAAGAGCUAUGUAUUAAGUUGCUUACCACGAGAAAAAGAAGAGCGAAGAGAAGGAUUUUAGCUGCCAUUUUAUAUAUGUUUCCUAAUGCUUAUAGGCCACUGCAGAGGAAAUGGAACUUAAGUGAAUGUUGUAGUUUUUGAUGAUGGAAAAGAGGCUUGUGUCACGGACAAAAUAUUUUCUGCUAACUUCUCCUUGACAGUGGCCCAAAUCUGCUAGCGAAACGGGUUGAAAACGGGUUGAAUCGAGUUGUCAAGAAGACCUAAACCCAACCCGCUGUGGGAAACUCAAGGGUUAUGAAACUCAUGGGAGUUAUGGGCGACUCUUGAGCUUUUGGCUAUUAUGAGGGCUCAUUAUGAGUGAGAUAGUGGGUGUGUUGAGUGGCUAGGUUCAAUGUAUUUUUUAGCUUAUAAGUAGUGGGGUUUGGUUAAGGCCAAAGCACACAAGAGAGAGUGUGCAUGUGAGUUGUAAUUCUCAUUUUCUAAGUAGUGUAGUACUUAGCUUUUUGAGAGAACCUCUGUCUCUUUUUCUUUGUCAUUCCCUUUGCAUAUUUAGUUGUAGGACGCGAAGGUUUGGGCUAGCAACAGGGACGAAGGCUUGCCCAUCUUCGACAGGAAAGCGGGCGCCGCAUGGCCUUUGCGAACAGAAACUCUAAGGCCGUGACAGUUGGUAUCAUAGCCGGUUCGAGAAGGAACCAUGUCUUCGUCGAAAGCUGCCGUCGUUGACGUUGUGCCUAAGCCCAGGGCGACCAAGCGCGGCAAGAGCAAGGAGCCGCGGACUCUGGCGAGAGAGUCUAUCUUGCUUGACGACCGCAUAGGCGUGCUGGAGGACUCUGCUGCGAGAGCGGAGGGGCGCCACUCCGACCUAUCCGAACAUGUGGGGAUGUUGGAGGAGAGGUUUUAUUUGAUGGAGAUAGAUAUUGUUGCAGCUAUGGCAACAUUCCGCCAUCGUCUGGAGCAGUUCAAGAUGAAUCCUGCCCGUCGCAACGACGAGCAGGAUGUGCGAGAUGGGCUGCUUCAGGACAUUGGAGUCCAAGUCAAGGAGAUCGAGGACCCCAAGAUGAGGGAGGCACUACCUAAGCGAAUCAAGGGCGAUCGAGGUGAACCACCAAAGGCGAGUGAGGCCAAAGGUGGGGAAGAUUGCCGUGAUACAGGGGACGUAAAAAGGCGCAACGAGAGUUCAACUUUGACAACCCUGCAGCUUUGCGAGGAGGUGAAGCGCGGGAAAGCUGGGGACCUCGAGGAGGAGGGCCUGAGCAGCGGCGAGACUAUCAAGUCUCAUACGGCGCUGGAGCGGCCAUCGUCCAAACAAAGUGCAAGUCAUUCUGCUAAGGAGCCUGCGAGGACUAAAAGGCGUUCUGCAGCUCGGCGGAGUACACGUGCGUGUCGCGGACGAUAUGCACACUCGGAGUGUUUUGCAGCUUGGCAGAGUGCGCGUGCGUGUUGCGGAGGACAUGCACAUCCGGCGAAUUCUUCUCACAGUAGGCUCGCUGGUGCACUUGCUUAGAGGGGCAAGACACUAGGUGUUGGUGUGGGGACAGAUGCGGACAUUGGGAGCAAGGCACGGGGUUGAUCGCGCGCGAAGGCAUGACGGACCGCGCAGAAAGCUAUGCGGAUCGGGAGCGACUCGGCGCGCGACGAGGGCGUAUGCGCGGAUCUCUUUUUUUUUUAUUGUUGUUUUCUUUUGUUUGUUUAUUAUUAUUUUUUUUAUUUUUGUUUAUUUGUCCAAAUAUACAAAAUUUCGUCUCGAAAUUCAUGACGAAUCAAAACCCGUCCAUUAUUUAUCAUCAUUCUUCUUGUUAUUUUUUUGACGCGUUUUGUUCAAGUACGCGGAGUUUAAUCGUGUCGAGCCUAUCACGAAGAUGGCCGCUCGAUCAAUCCCUUCGACCAUGUCGAGCCUAUCACGAAGAUGGCCGCACGGUUUACGUAUCGAAAUAAACGGAGCUCGAUCACCCAUUUUGAUCAUGUCGAGCCUAUCACGAAGAUGGCCGCACGGCUUAGAGAUUAGCAAUGCAUAUGACGGAAACGACGAUCUAAUGUCAAAUUUGAUCGGUUCGAAACCUAUCAUGAAGAUGGUCGGGUUGAUCAAAUUGAUAAAAGAAAAAAAAGCAAAGUUUAGGGAUUCGCGACGCGUACGCGUGACGGAAGCAACGAUUUAAUGUCAAAUUUGAUCGGUUCGAAACCUAUCACGAAAAUGGUCGGGUUGAUCAAAUUGACAGAAAAAAUGCGUUUAUGCUAUGCGUAUGCAUGCAUAUCUCCAAUAGAAAUUGUUGUGGUUGUCGUUGUCGAAGUCGUAGCCGAAUCCCAGAACCAAAGUCCUUUUUUUUUGUUGAUGUGUACGAACAAAGGAGGGGACCCCUCCUCUGCCAGCCGAGAGAGAUAGAGUGAAAGAGGGAGAGGAGAGUAUAAAAAAAAACUCUUUUCUUUUUUUUUGUUUCUCACCUUUUUUUCUUUCUUCUUCUUCUUUCUUCUUCUUUUUUUUUUUUUUUUUNAGAUAGAGUGAAAGAGGGAGAGGAGAGUAUAAAAAAAAACUCUUUUCUUUUUUUUUGUUUCUCACCUUUUUUUCUUUCUUCUUCUUCUUUCUUCUUUUUUUUUUUUUUUGCUUUGGUUCUCUUUUUGGAUCUCUCCCUUUCUUCCUUCCUCUAAAAAAAAAUUCUCUCUAGACCCCUUUUCGAAAUUUGGAUCUUAUUUCAUAUAAGAUUCAAAGAUGAUUCCCAUUUGGGAAUAAUUUAGAAAUCAGUUUAUUGAGGAAACAAACCUUAAUCAACUAAUUAUACCUCUUUUGUUUUAUUUUUGAAUACUUUUCCCUUUUUUUUUUUGAUUCAUUCCUUUCCCUAUCUCCUUCCUUCUAUACUUUCAAUUUGAAUUUUGAUUUUUUUUUUUUUAUCUCAAACAGUGCAUAGCCAAUGUCCACCAUGGAAGGUAAAAUUUGAAAAGGUUUUAGUGUUGGGAAUCCGGUACUCGCCCUGGUACCGAAUUUUGUGAAUCCGCAAUCCGCUCCGAUAGCUGUGGAUCCAGUAUCGAUUGUUGGGAUUCCGCAACGAAAGCGUCAAAUUAAAUUUUUACCAUAAACCCGUCUCUUCAGCAAAAGCUGAUACAAUUACAAAAGAGAAAAAAUCAAAACAGAAAAUAUACAGGUAAAAUAAGAUUCAUUAAAUAAGAGAAGAUUACAUCUGACUUAUUUUCUGCAAUAGAAUAGUUACAAUUCGAGCCCUCUUUCUGAAUCUUUUCUACCCUUCUUUCAUCUUCUAUAAACCCAAAAGAAAACAUUUCUCGUUGGUACACCUGUGCACUAGGUGCAUCAACUCAUGGCCAAGACUCUCAAGUACGGUCAUUAAGCACCAACCGUACACCACCUUGGAGCUACAGCCUUGCCGUACACCUCUCAACCCCUUGGCCGUACUUUUGGACAAAAAUUUUAUGGACACGGUGUCCAUAAAGGCUAAUUUGAGGAUGCCCUGGCUCGGCGCCACGUCGCACCCGAGCCAAGCGGGGCUCAUCGCCCUGCUGCUCUUCCAUUUGGGAGAGUAGUGAGACUUUUUUGGUGCACCUGGUGCACCAUUUUUGUUCUAAAAUUUUAUUUUUUAUUUUUAAUUAUAAUUUAAUGUAAUAGAGAUAUAUACUAUGAUAUUUAAAAAAAUAUGUGUAAAAGAAUUUUGAACGCUGAAUUCUAAAUUCUUUUACAUAUGUUUUUUAAAUAUAUAUAUAUAUAUAUAUAUAUAUAUAUAUAUAUGUUAUAUUAAAUUAUAAUUUAAAAAAUAAAAAUAAAAAUUUUAAAAUAAAAAAUGGUGUACCGGGUGCACCAAAAAAAAUCCUGCUGCUUCCCUUGUUGGGAGAGCAACAGGAGCGAUGGGCCCGCAUGGGUUGGGUGCCACACGGCACCCAUCCGGAAGUGGCUCGAAACACAUGGCGCCCAUCUAGGGUAUCCCCAAAGUAAUUUUCAUAGACAUGAUGUCCAUAAAAUUUUUGUCCCGUACUUCUCUCCUCACAGUCUCCAUAACUUCUUCACAAGGCUCUACCAAUUUAAUUAGCCCGAAUGCUAUAUAUAUAUAUAUAUAUAUAUAUAUAUAUAUAUAUAUAUAUAUAUAUAUAUAUAUAUAUAUAUAUAUCACCUAACAGAAAAAAUAUCAGAAAAAAAAAUUCUGAUACUUACCAUAUAUAUAUAGANAUAUAUAUAUAUAUAUAGCACCUACGAAAACGUAUCCAACUCCUAAUAUAAUUAAGAUUCUGACUUAAUUAAUAUUUAAAUCUAUUUUAACUUAUCUCUAAUAGAUUUAAAUAUUAAUUCUAAUUCAGUUAGAUUCAUACUCUAAUUAAUAUUUAAAUUUUAAUUUAUCUCCAACAGAUUUAAAUAUUAAUUCUUAUCCAACUAAGAUUCAACAACAAAUCUAACCAAAUCCUAACAUUUAGUCAGAGAAAAAGCGAAGCCGGAGGUGAGAGAGCUGGUUGAAGAGAGGGAGGCCAGGGUGUCGUAUAUGAUGGGACACACUUGUGUGCUAGCUCAUGAAUCGUCAUCGUUCAUCAAGAAGUUUGCGAUCGAUGUUCUUUAUAUGGGUUUUUAAGGCGAAACUCGCGAAGGCCAGCUGUUGCGCUAGGGAUUCCGCACACUUCCCUGCUCGAGGUUGGCAUGGUUUACCGUGUGUGAUGUUCUUUAAAGCGCGCGCACGGAGUUGGAGAAAUCAGUCACUACCUAAUCUUUCUUCGCUUCUGAAAAUUGUCUGAUGCUGCCUAUGAAGAUCAUAAGUGAAUCUGUUCAAAUAUUGAUUGUAUUUGCUGCAGAUGAUUUCACCUCUUGUUAGUAUAUAAGGGGGGUUGAAGGGGGAGAGGAGCAAACGGAAAAAAGAGGCGCCAUGCUAAUACGACCUGACAAAUAUAAGGAAGCUUAAGGUAUGAUGAUUUGAAGAACAUCUUGGUAUUUUCUAACAAAGAUCUGAAUUUCCUAGUAACAAAGAUCUGAAGUCUUCGCCAUAUGAACUCAGCCCUCCUCAUGAAGGGGCUGUGAAAAGUCUUCAACCAUGCAUCUCUCCCCUGGGUCCAGCUUCUCUUGGAGAAAUACUACAAGCAUCGUCCAGCUCGUCUUAUCCAAGCCAAACCUGCUGGGUGCUCUCCUAUUUGGAAAGCGAUGCUUGCCACUGCGGCUCCUUUUUUUACUUCGGUUAAUUUCUCUCUUGGCAAUGGCAAGGUUACUGUUAGGUUUUGAUUAGAUUUGUAAUUGAAUACUAAUUAGAUUAGAAUUAAUAUUUAAAUCUGUUGGAGAUAAAUUAAUAUUUAAAUAUUAAUUAGAGGAUAAAUCUAACUAGAUUAGGAUUAAUAUUUAAAUCUAUUAGAAAUUAAUUAAGAUAGAUUUAAAUAUUAAUUANUCUCUUGGCAAUGGCAAGGUUACUGUUAGGUUUUGAUUAGAUUUGUAAUUGAAUACUAAUUAGAUUAGAAUUAAUAUUUAAAUCUGUUGGAGAUAAAUUAAUAUUUAAAUAUUAAUUAGAGGAUAAAUCUAACUAGAUUAGGAUUAAUAUUUAAAUCUAUUAGAAAUUAAUUAAGAUAGAUUUAAAUAUUAAUUAAAGUCGGAAUCUUAAAUAUACUAAGAUUUGGUACAUCUUUAGUUGACCAUUAUAUAUAAUGCAUUAGAGGCUAUAUAUUGAGGGAAGAGUACGGCCAAGAGAGGGAAAGUCUCUUGGGUAUGCCGUACCAGAGAGAAAAAGAGAAAGAGAGAGAAUAGCCAAGAGUUGAGUGCACGUCAGGUGUAAUCUUCUCUUAAUUAAUAAAUUUUAUUUUACUCGCAUAUUUUUUUCUUUUGUGAUUAUAUUAGUUUUUGCUGAGGAAACAGGUUUAUGGUAAAAAUCUAAUUUGACACUUUCGUUACGGAAUCCCAACAAUCAGUACCGGAUCCACAGCAGUCGGUAUCAAAGCGGGUUGCGGAUUCAUAAGAUCCGAUACCGGAGCGAGUACCGAGGCAGGGUUACGACACUUGUAGCAAUUCUUGUGUCACUAAUUUUCUCUUUAUACCUUGUGCGCUGACCUCUUGUGUACGCUGACCUCUUGUGUAAUGCAGUGCAAGGUUCUUGUCCUCUCUCCCCUGCAGCUCCUUCUCAAAUAGGGUAUAUCCCCGUUUAAUAAAAAAAAAACAAAACAAAACAAAACAAAUAUCUGAAUUUACAGAGAUUUGAAUAUCUCUCUAGACUAGUUGGUAGUUUAAGAAGUUUAUUUUCGUCUUCUAUUAUUAGUGUUUGAGUAGGAGAUCUGUUGUUCAAACUUGUUCAGAGAAUCAAUAUAUAUAUAUAUGUAUCAGAAAUAUAGGAAUCAUUGAAACAAAACUUUACUGAAACUUCAUACAUGUAUAGCUCACAUCAUUUUAAUUAACUAAAAUUUAAUUGGGUAGCUACUUAGGGCUUAGUGAGAGACCAAUUCUCUAGCUACGUACAUUUGAUCUGCACUUUUGUUGGCAUCCUAUACAUGAGUAUAUUUUCCUUCAACCACGAAAUUUGAUGAUUACAGUUAAGUAGAGUUCAUUCGCCUACGCAUACAAUGAAACUUCACCAUGAUUCAUAAAUAAAAUUAUAUUUUAGCAUGUAGCAUUAAACCAAGUACUUUAAAGGCGCAUUAGUACAUGCAAGUACACCUUACUAGGUUGUGCUUCCUUUUAUAUCCUUAAUUCCUUCAAUGAGCCUAAAAUAAUUGAGAUUAAAAGCAUUAUUAUUUCGGCCAUUCACAGCAUGGAGAUUCUAUUUCCAUUAGUUCACACUCUCAUAAUUUUCUAUUUGUAUAUAAGGAGACACAACGCAAGAUGCGGUGUGGUGAUAGGGUAUCAAAUUAACUUAUUUAAUCUAAAGAUGACGAUAAUUAAUUAGAAGAAAUAUUUAAAGUUUAAUUCACGACAGCUAAUGAUUAAUAUAGCUAUGUACAUGCACGUUUAAAAAUAACCUCCUCAUGUAUCAAUUAAUCACUUGUCCUAAAAUCUACGGUUAUAAGGACUAAGGAGUAGUUGGCAUUUGUACCAGGAUGAAGCAGCUUGCACAUGGAAUUAAAUUGGCCCCUCGUGGCUUUCGAGAUCACCAGCUACCUCACAUUUUGUGAGACAGAAAAUAAAUAAUAUUGGAGACUGAGAGAAAAAAGAUAUUGGAGAGAAAUUUAACGAGAAGAGAAAUUAAGACAUUCAAUUUCUUCUAAAAAUCUCUUCAUUUUCUUAUUCCAACCACCGAUCAAACAUAAUGGGUGGCUAAAAAGUUAGAAGCACAAAAACUGCUGUGCUCCUAAUAGCACAGUAUCCUUGCUCUCUCUCUCUCUCUCUCUCUCUCUCUAUAUAUAUAUAUAUACUUCUCACAACUCAUAAUUUGUUAUGAAAAUAAAAUAAAUGAGAGAAAAUUAGUAACAUUAGAAGGUUUUUUUUUUGGAAAGCAAAAAAAAAUUAGAGCUUGGUGAGAUGGUGGUGGAAAAAGUUGAGAGGAAAUUAGUAAUACUAAAAAUUUUUUUUUGGAAACCAAAAAAAAAAUUUAGAGCUAGGCGAGAUGGUGGUGGAAAAAGUUGCCAAGAUUCAAACUCAGAAUUUUGGUUCUAUUGCCAUGUUAAAGAAUAAUAAAUAAUUGUUGUUUUUAAAAAAUUAAAUUAUUAUAGAGUGGUAUUUUAAUAUUUUAUAUUCAAUAUUUAUAAACAAUAUAUAGUUAAAUUCUUUUGAAAGAUGUGUGUAUGUGUGUGUGUUUUUUUGGCCAUUACUUGACCUGCCUAACUUUUCCUUUUAUAGAUCUUAAAAAUUGCAUCUAUACUAGGUCCUUAUUGUCACCUUUAAUUAUUAAAUCUAAAAUUGUAAAUUUUAUAAUUUUAUAAUCUAUCGUUAUCUAGAAAGAACCAUAUAUUUUAACCACGUAUUAAAUCUUUUUUUUCUUGAUUAGUUUGAAUAUGUUAAAAUAUGUUUUGUGAGUUUGAAUUUGACUUCAAAUUAUAAUAUAAAAAAAUAAUAUUUACAAAUUGAACAAUGCAAAGUAAUUGCAAAACAGAACUAAUCAUAAAAAUAAAAUUAAUCUUAAUAAAACUCGACCAUCAUCGAACAAUUUCCGACUUUGUCUCCGUCAAAAUAUCAACAAACCUAACCUUUUCUUCAAGUGUAAUGCUUCUAUAUUUGUUUUUUUUCGUUACCGUUCAUUUACUCCUAUUCAACUGCUCAGAUUUAAUUUUUUUUAAAUUGUGACUUGCAAUAGCAGAUCACUUUGGGAGAGGUACCAGUUACUAGGUACAUCAAAAAAGAGUAUUUUUUUAUUUUAAUACAUGGACAAUUUAAAAUUUUAUCUCUACUAUAUUAUUAAAAUUUUUAUUCUCUCUUUAUUUCCUUUUUCUCUCUCUAUCUUUUCUCUCAUGUUUUGGCAUUUCAUAUAAGAAAAGUUUCAAAUUAUUUGACAACAUAAUUUUAAAAGAUAAUUUUUCUUUUCUCUUUGUUUAAUUGUUUAAUAUUACAAAUGAUUUUAAUUUUAAGAAACUAUUAUGCAUUAAAAUUUCUUGCCCUACCUAUAUAUUGCUUUCUAAAUCUAUUUUUAAUAAAAUAAGAAUGAAAUUUAGAUUAUUUUUUGAUUUAAUUUUUUAGUUUUUUUUUCUAGUUCGAUCUAAGAAUUUUCAAAUUUUAUCAGAUUGUAGGAUAUUUAUUUGUUUCAGUUUUGAUAGUAAUAACUUGUUGAAAUUUGCGAUGGCUAAUGAAUUAGAAAAUAAUAUUCCGAUGGAAAAGUUGUGCGGUAUUAUCUUAAACCUUCUUUUCUAAUAUUUGUUGAUUAACAAUUUUUUUUAUUUUAUAAAAUUCGCUAAUCAUAUUCUUAUUUACCAACAUUACAAAAUUUUUAAAUAGUAAUACAAAAUUCCUCUAACUUAAAUUUUAAUUUUUAAUUUUAAAUAUUUAAUAUUUAAUAUUUAAAUUCAACGUAUUUAGAAAUAGAACUAUUUCUAAAAUUCUAUAAUUUAAAUUAAUGCCUAAAUUUUAGAAACACUAAAAUUUCUAAAAUAAAUGCCUAAAUUUGGGUAAUCAAUUAAUUUUUUAAAUUAGUGCAAAUUAAUGUGUAAAUUUAGAACAUCAAUUAAAUUUUCUUUAAAUGUUGUAUAGUUUAAUUACAAAAAUAACCUCGAAUAAAGUAAUCCUUUUACCUGCUAAAUAUUAAAAUUAAAUCUUUAUUUUCUAUUAAUCAACUGUUAAGAUCUUUUUUAUUUUUUUAAAAAUAAAGUACCGAAUCACUUCUCGUGUUAAUUAAAAAAGAAAAAGCAACCGUUUGAAGGGCACCAAAUAUAUUUUGAUAUAACAAUUCCAGUGUAACAGUAGAAUUGAUCAUGGCCCAUGCAUCCAACUAAUACCACCUCUUAUCCCUAUAAAUAACCAUUCCUAUGGCCCUAAAAUCUCAAAUCACAGCAACAAAUUGAUCACUUUCAUUUUCGAUAAGCUUCUUGUUCUAUAUCCAUGGCUUCUCCAUUUCUACUCUCGCUGUUCUUGCUUUGGCUUUUGCACAAGCUCUUGCUUAUGAUCCUAGCCCUCUCCAGGACUUCUGCGUCGCGGAUUUGAAUUCCCCUAGUAUGUUUCAGUUUCUUGUUUAAUUUUCGUUGUGUUCUAUGUUAUGUUAGUUUGAAUAUAUACUGCUGCAAAGUCGGUAUUUAUGUCUAUUCAUCUAAAUACUCAUGUGUUGAUUUUUUAUUUAGAUAUUUGUAGCCAAACACAUAAAAAAUUUAGUAGGAUUUUGAGGGGUCUACAUACAAAUUUAUGCAAGACUAAACUUCUCUCCUGCAUGGCAUGUAUGCAUGAUUCAGUUUUCAUCAAUGGGUUUGUGUGCAAAAAUCCGAACCUGGUGACGGCGCAGGACUUCUUCGCUUCCGGCCUGAACAUCGCCGGAAACACGCAAAACAAGGUCGGGUUCAACGUGACGCUCGUCAACGUCCAGAGGCUCCCGGGGCUCAACACUCUCGGCGUCUCCAUCGCGCGCCUCGACUACGCCCCAAACGGCCUCAACCCCCUCCACACCCACCCCCGCGCCACAGAGAUCCUUACCGUCAUCAGGGGAACCCUCCUCGUCGGCUUUGUUACCUCUAGUCCUAACAACACGUAUUAUUUUUCUCUAAAAAUUUAAGCCGUUCGUAGGACACAUUCUUUAAAUUUUUCAACAAUAUUGUUUAUUUUUUUUACAAAAAUAUUACCUUACUAGGUGGAAUGUUUUGUUUUUCAUUUUCUAACAAAGAUUAUUAAAUACUUGCUAUGCUUCUAUAUAAUAAAAUCAAAAGUACCGGAAAGAUUUAUAUAAUGAAAUUAUUAAUUUCCAUAUGCUCAUUUUUUAUAUUUUGGAGUACAAAAAAUAUAUUUAAUAGUUACAAAUAACUUUGAUGCAAGUAAGUGAUGUAAAUGUCUCUUUUCCUGUCAACUUAAGUUAUUAAAGAAUAUUAUUUUAAUUCUUUUUUUUUCCCUACAAUAGGCUCUUCCAACGGGUCCUCCGUCCCGGUGACGUUUUCGUGUUCCCCAUUGGCUUGAUCCACUUUCAGUUGAAUGUCGGCAGAGGCCCUGCAGUCGCCAUUUCAGGGUUCAACAGCCAGAACCCAGGGCUCAUCGUCAUCGCGGACGCUGUAUUCGGGUCGAACCCGCCGAUCCCUGUGCAGGUGCUGGAGAAGUCGUUCCAGGUCGGGCAGAACGUGAUCCAGGAGCUCCAGGCGCAGUUCAAGUAGAUAUGAGAUUCUGAGACCUUAAUAUAUAUGAGGUCUCUGAUUGAUGUUCUUAGUUGUUGGAUUUGUGUACUGUGGUUGUUUCGACCUUUGAAUAAAGGUAGCAGGUAUAUAUAUGUAGUAACUGCUACACUUUGCAACCACUGCUCUGGUUUCGUUAUGACUGUGAAAGAUGUAUUUGCUUUUGAAUAAUAUUGUUGAUGAUGUGAUCGCUUGAAUAAUAUAUAUAUAUUCCUUAAUGAGAUUUCAAAUUCUUAAUUAAAUUAAUCUAAGGGUGCCUUUGGUUCGCGCGGUUUUUUUAAAAUUUCUAAUAAUCCAAUAAAAAUAAAAAAAAUAUGACGGUGUUUGAUUAAACGCACUAAGUAAUCUAGUUGGUAAUAAUAGAUUUACUUGGGAAUAAGAUUUAUUCCAAAAUACUAAUUUCAUUUUCUUGAGGGAGGGUGGGUAUUCUCAUAUUAAUUGAUUGGAGUAAUCAUAAUAUGUCUAAUCUCUUUCUUUCUCUCUACCCGCCGGCUAGUUGGUAUUAUUUUCUUUACACUUAACCUUAUAUAUCUCUCUAAACUUAUCUUUUUCUCUCUCUAAACUAAGCUCUUUUCCCCUGCUUUUUCUAAAAUUUCAACUCUCUCGCUCCCUCUAAUUUUGACUAUAUUUCUCUUUCUAUUUAUUUAAUUAUGCUCUCUCCCUCUAACCUAUAUUCUCUCUUCAUUUUUUCUAAAAAAAUGUUGAAAUUUUUUAUAACAUUAUCUAAAAUUAAUUAAAGAAAUAAAUAAAUAAAUUAUAUAUUUUUUGUAAAUUUAAAUAACAUGACUAAAUAAUAUGACCAUACGAACUAAACACAGAAAUACCAUAUUCUUAGUAAUAGGAUGAGUAGAAAUAAAAUUCUCGGACAUUUUUUUAUUGCUAGUAAUUUUUCAUAGUGCGAACCAAACGCACUCUAAAAGUAAAAAAAUUUGUCCGGAAUAGAAAGAUACAUGACAUAGACAUGAGAUGGGAAAAUGCAACAUGAACUGACCAGUUCGAUCUAAUCUGACUCGGGUUCAACCAAAUUUUACUUUACUCAUCAAGUACAUAUAUAUAUAUAUGCACCUAUCAUGUAGAGUUCACCACCGCAUGAGGUUGAAAUGAGCUUUUGAGUUCGAAACACAAAAGUUCAAUUGAAAAAUUAACUUUAUUCUGCUUUUUCUGUGAAAAAAGUUAUGAUUUCCGAGUAGCUUUAAUAACAAAAAAAGAAUUUAAUUUAUAGUCAAAAUAUCGAAGUGAUCACUGAAGUCGAUUCACACUUUGGAUUGAACCUGCGAAUUUUCAAUCGGUGAAGUUCUCGCUAAGGUCACGACGCGUUCUCAAAAGAUAGGCAUGCAACAACAUUUAUGGAUCGGAUAAAAUCUAAUUUAACACGAAUUUUAUUGUUACUUGUUUGAAAUUUUUGUGGUCGGUCUAAAAAGUAAAUAGGCAUUACGAGAGAUUAUCAUAAGAGGGAGAUUAGUUUUCGCCGCGCAAUAAGUUGCAGUUUUUUUCUUAAUUUAGAAUUAAAAGUGAGUUGGAUUGUUAUAUUGAAACAAUACAAAGAUGAAAUCAUACAAUGAAUUUAGCGUAUGGGAAUUUAAUUAAUUAGUCCAAAGUAAAAUCAAAGAGUAAUUAAUGCUAAACCCACACAUACUCUUUUACAAGUCAAAGUUCCUGAAAUUUCUUACUGUAUCAAUAUUUUGUUUUUUAUAAUAUUAAUUCACUGCAAUGCAUGGAUUACUUCACUAGUUAAUUAUGAAACUAGAGCCUGCAGUCAUUAAUAAAUAAAUUUGUAUUUUUAUUCUUGCUAACUCACAUGCAAACAUUACCAAAUUGUUUGCUUAUUCAAACCAAUUAAUACAGUCAAAUGAAUAAAUCCACAGAAAUGAAUAACAAAAGCAGAUUACAUGCGAUAAUUGGGAAAACCAAACAUCAAAAGUAAAUUACAUCUAGUAUAUAUCUUAGUUUCAAUUGGUCGAUGCGAACUGAGCCUGAAUCCAAUCUAUGGUUUUCUUGUCCACCUGAAAGGUCUUAGCAAGAAUAUCAUCGGAAAUGGAAGGAUUUGAACCGAAGACCGAUUCACCAAUCCUAAUGAGACCCGGAUUCUGGCUACCCAGGGAACCGAGGGCGACUGCCCUAGUUGGACCAUAGUUGAAUUCAAAAUGAAUCAAACCCUUAGGGAACACGAACACAUCGCCCUUGUUAAGGACCUUAGAAAAGAGCUUGUUCUCAGGGUUCGACGUGACGAAUCCAACAUAGAGGGAGCCUUCUAUCACAGUCAAGAUCUCGGUGGCACGUGGGUGAAUGUGUGGCGGGUUGAGACCAUUAGGUGCAACAUCAAGACGAGCCAUCGAGACGCCUAGGGUGUUGAGACCGGGAAUCUUGCUUGCGUCGAUUAAAGUCACUUUCGAUCCGAACUUGUUGGAUGUGUUUCCGGGCUUGUCUAGGCCGGAGAAGAGGAAAUCCUCAGCUUUCGCCAGUUUUGGAUCUUUGCACACGAAUCCAUUAACAAACACUGCAGGAACAUAAUUAAACGCAUAGUUAGUGUCACUAGUAAAUACAUAUGUACGUAAAAGGAGUAGCAGCUAAUUAAAGACCCAACUCCAACUACUUAACCCUAGCUAGUAACUCAAAUGGCCGAGAAGAGCUAUGUAUUAAGUUGCUUACCAUGAGACAUCUCAUCCGCGACGCAAAAGUCUUGGAGAGGACUAGGAUCGGAAGCGAAUGCAAACGGAGAAGCGACUAAAAGAAGAGCGAAGAGGAGGAUUUUAGCUGCCAUUUUAUAUAUGUUUCCUAAUGCUUAUAGGCCACUGCAGAGUAAAUGGAACUUAAGUAAAUGUUGUUGUUUUUGAUGAUGGAAAAGAGGCUUGGGUGUUAUGAGUCUAUAUAGAAGAAGAGGAGAUGUGGGACUCGGUUUUAUGAUAAGGCUUCGAAAAGGUCAUCAUAUGAUAGAGCCUUGAAAAGGUCAUGUUUACCUUUACAAAAAGAAUUGAAGCUACAUUCCUGGUAGUAUGAAUUGGUCCUCGUUCUGAUGUGGUUGUUGUGUAACUAAAAAGCACUUAAAUAUGAUCAAUAUAGUAACCUUAUCAAAGUACAAAAAAUAGUAAAAAAUACGGCGGCCGACUGCAUAAUUAAUGAAGGUUGAAGUAGUCCUAUAUGUGCAUGUAAGUUACCAAAAUGAUUUUCCAGUUUGAUCUCAUGAACAGUGUUCUCUAGUGUGAACAAAUUAAUAAAGGAAUCGGGGUUGUUGUGGAGCACCUUAAAAUAGUUUUCUCUUAUUCACUAUAAUUUCAGCGCAUAUAAGAAAGUUUUUUUUUAAGAGAAAGAUAGUAUUCUACCCGGUUGGUUUAUUUUUUUUAGAAAUAAACUUAGUUGGAAAUGUAAAGUAAUUAGACUUCCGAUUUGGGAUCUCAAGUACCAACCACAAAUUAAGUCCUUUGCCCUUUACGCUAGAGACGGUCGGUGUAUAUAAGAAAGUUGGUGG
rnacentral:lncRNA from 1 species